rfam:Clostridium phage phiCD38-2, complete genome.
UGUCUACUAAGCGACGUAAAAAGUUAGACAAUACGUGAUGCUACCACGUAAAAAAGCGUA